AUGAACGCUGGCGGCGUGCCUAAUACAUGCAAGUCGAGCGAACAGACGAGGAGCUUGCUCCUCUGACGUUAGCGGCGGACGGGUGGGUAACACGUGGAUAACCUACCUAUAAGACUGGGAUAACUUCGGGAAACCGGAGCUAAUACCGGAUAAUAUAUUGAACCGCAUGGUUCAAUAGUGAAAGACGGUUUUGCUGUCACUUAUAGAUGGAUCCGCGCCGCAUUAGCUAGUUGGUAAGGUAACGGCUUACCAAGGCAACGAUGCGUAGCCGACCUGAGAGGGUGAUCGGCCACACUGGAACUGAGACACGGUCCAGACUCCUACGGGAGGCAGCAGUAGGGAAUCUUCCGCAAUGGGCGAAAGCCUGACGGAGCAACGCCGCGUGAGUGAUGAAGGUCUUCGGAUCGUAAAACUCUGUUAUUAGGGAAGAACAAAUGUGUAAGUAACUAUGCACGUCUUGACGGUACCUAAUCAGAAAGCCACGGCUAACUACGUG
rnacentral:rRNA from 1 species